UACGUAGGGUGCAGGCGUUAAUCGGAAUUACUGGGCGUAAAGCGUGCGCAGGCGGUUUCUUAAGUCAGACGUGAAAGCCCCGGGCUUAACCUGGGAACUGCGUUUGAAACUGGGAGACUUGAGUGUGGCAGAGGGGGGUGGAAUUCCACGUGUAGCAGUGAAAUGCGUAGAUAUGUGGAGGAACACCGAUGGCGAAGGCAGCCCCCUGGGUUAACACUGACGCUCAUGCACGAAAGCGUGGGGAGCAAACAGG
rnacentral:rRNA from 1 species